rnacentral:sRNA from 1 species
AACGUGAAGGAUAACGUUGCGUCAGCAACGGCCCGUAGGGCAAGGCGAAGCCGAGUCAUCCUGCACGACCCACCG